UAUGUGCUUGGCUGAGGAGCCAAUGG
rnacentral:piRNA from 4 species